UGGGGAAUUUUGCACAAUGGGCGCAAGCCUGAUGCAGCGACGCCGCGUGAGGGAUGAAGGCCUUCGGGUUGUAAACCUUUUUCGCUCAUGGUCAAGCCGCAGCUUUGGGUUGUGGUGAGGGUAGUGGGUAAAGAAGCGCCGGCUAACUACGUGCCAGCAGCCGCGGUAAUACGUAGGUCCCGAGCGUUAUCCGGAAUUAUUGGGCGUAAAGAGCUUGUAGGCGGUUCGUCGCGUCUGGUGUGAAAGCCCAUCGCUUAACGGUGGGUUUGCGCCGGGUACGGGCGGGCUAGAGUGCAGUAGGGGAGACUGGAAUUCCCGGUGUAACGGUGGAAUGUGUAGAUAUCGGGAAGAACACCAAUGGCGAAGGCAGGUCUCUGGGCUGUUACUGACGCUGAGAAGCGAAAGCGUGGGGAGCGAACAGG
rnacentral:rRNA from 1 species